GUUAUAGAAAAGAAUUAACGGCUAAAAAUCUGAACGGAAUAAUUCAUUAUAUUCUACUGCAAUCAAUGUAAGAUUUCUUAAACUUUAUAUGUGUUUAUUUACAUUGUUUUAGAAACUCAUAUUAGGAUAUUAAACAAUCGGUAGUAAAUUUAAAUCCUGGUAAAAUAAUUCCAACAAAAAGGAGGAAGAAAAGUCAUACAAUGAUUCCUGUUCUCUUUGAUGGAUUCAUGACCAAAAUUAUAAGGAAUGGAAACUCCAAAAUAAUACCAAAUUUCACAAGUAUUAUAUUUUCUGAAACAUCCUCAUCAUUAUUAUAUACGGGUAUAAAAUGGGGUAUUCACAUGAGUUAAUUUUGUAACAAGUGUAAAAUAUCAUUUUCAAACUUACCUUUAUUUUCGUGCAUCAUUCCCUCGAUAGUACAUGGGAGAAAUAACAACAAGAUGGCCUUUGUUCGACGGAGUCGGAGAAAGAGCAAGGAGAUGCUCUUUGUUCGUCGGAGUCGGAGAAAGAGCAAAGAGAUGCCCUUUGUUCGCCGGAGUCGGAGAAAGAGCAAGGAGAUGCCCUUUGUUCCUCGGAGCAGGGCCGGCCAGAGGACGGCCCUGCCUCGGAGUCGGAGCAAGAGCAAAGAGAUGCCCUUUGUUCGCCAGAGUCGGAGAAAGAGCAAGGAAAUGCCCUUAGUUAGCCGGAGUCGGAGCAAGAGCAAAGAGAUGCCCUUUGUUCGCCGGUGUCGGAGCAAGAACAAGGAGAUGCCCUUUGUUCGCCGGAGUCGGAGAAAGAGGAAGAGACCCUUCCAUGGCAAGUCGAUCGAUUAUUUUUAAAGAAACAAACAAAUGAACCGGGUGUAACCGGUAUAGCUAAGCAGAAGAGACAUUAAUACCCAAAUUUUAUUACUUUUAAAAAAUAUCUACCAUUGAUUUAAAUCUAAUGGUCUUUAUUAAAUAAACACGUCCAUCCUAAUUUUUUUUUUACUGGUCUUUAGCCAGGCCCGUCUAUUGUAUUAUAUUUGUAUGUACAUAUAUAUAAUAAGAUUUCAGUAAAUAAAUAAUUUGUUUAAUUUGCAAAUAAAUGCUUUCCUGUUUUUGUUUUCGCUGCAUCGUUUUUGUUUUCUUCCAUAAAAUUAUGGUCACUCCCAAAUCCCAAGCACAGAUCAUAGAAACCCUUUCAUGCAAAGCCAGAGAAGAACUCAUAAACAAAUAAAACAAACAGUCACAAGAAAAUGCCUUAUAUUAAUCUCAAAGCUAAAUUAAACACACAACAAAAAAUGCCCCAAGGGCACUUUUCAUUAUUACUGAAACAAACCACACCACACCAAGCUACUACAUGCUUUACCAAGCUACUACAUGCUUUGUGAGACUAAGCGCCAAGGACACUUUCUAUUAUUACUAAAACAAACCACACCACACCACACCAAGCUACUACAUGCUUCGUGAGACUCAGCGCUAAUGGCACUUUUUAUUAAUUAUAUCUUAUGAGGCGUUUUGUUGAACAUCUAGCGCCAAACCAGGGGUAACACAACGUCCCCCCCGCUCCCUAGAGUUGCAAUGCAUCGGGUAGCAGCAGGGACUUGACAAAAGAGCGCAAGGAGAACCAGCUUGUAGACAGUAUGGAUCAUCGACACAUCUCCGAUUCUCACCCCAUCCCCACUCACCUUCACAUUGUAGUCCUUCACAACAAUACUUGUCUUGUGCCCAAUGACAAUAUUCACCAGGUACCCUACACCUGUUAGGUACCAUAUUCAGAUGAAUAUCCGGUUGUAGUCGACCAAAGCACCCCACAACCAUCACACCCACUACCAACGCCAUUACCAUAAACUUCUUCAUCAUUCUUUUCUUACUCUCCUAUACUUUCGGUAGCUAAUUGAUAUUUUUAUUUUUUUUGUAAUUAGUUUACAC